rnacentral:rRNA from 1 species
GGGUUGUGAGGUUAAGCGACUAAGCGUACACGGUGGAUGCCCUGGCAGUCAGAGGCGAUGAAGGACGUGCUAAUCUGCGAUAAGCGUCGGUAAGGUGAUAUGAACCGUUAUAACCGGCGAUUUCCGAAUGGGGAAACCCAGUGUGUUUCGACACACUAUCAUUAACUGAAUCCAUAGGUUAAUGAGGCGAACCGGGGGAACUGAAACAUCUAAGUACCCCGAGGAAAAGAAAUCAACCGAGAUUCCCCCAGUAGCGGCGAGCGAACGGGGAGCAGCCCAGAGCCUGAAUCAGUAUGUGUGUUAGUGGAAGCGUCUGGAAAGGCGCGCGAUACAGGGUGACAGCCCCGUACACAAAAAUGCACAUAUUGUGAGCUCGAUGAGUAGGGCGGGACACGUGGUAUCCUGUCUGAAUAUGGGGGGACCAUCCUCCAAGGCUAAAUACUCCUGACUGACCGAUAGUGAACCAGUACCGUGAGGGAAAGGCGAAAAGAACCCCGGCGAGGGGAGUGAAAAAGAACCUGAAACCGUGUACGUACAAGCAGUGGGAGCACGCUUAGGCGUGUGACUGCGUACCUUUUGUAUAAUGGGUCAGCGACUUAUAUUCUGUAGCAAGGUUAACCGAAUAGGGGAGCCGAAGGGAAACCGAGUCUUAACUGGGCGUUAAGUUGCAGGGUAUAGACCCGAAACCCGGUGAUCUAGCCAUGGGCAGGUUGAAGGUUGGGUAACACUAACUGGAGGACCGAACCGACUAAUGUUGAAAAAUUAGCGGAUGACUUGUGGCUGGGGGUGAAAGGCCAAUCAAACCGGGAGAUAGCUGGUUCUCCCCGAAAGCUAUUUAGGUAGCGCCUCGUGAAUUCAUCUCCGGGGGUAGAGCACUGUUUCGGCAAGGGGGUCAUCCCGACUUACCAACCCGAUGCAAACUGCGAAUACCGGAGAAUGUUAUCACGGGAGACACACGGCGGGUGCUAACGUCCGUCGUGAAGAGGGAAACAACCCAGACCGCCAGCUAAGGUCCCAAAGUCAUGGUUAAGUGGGAAACGAUGUGGGAAGGCCCAGACAGCCAGGAUGUUGGCUUAGAAGCAGCCAUCAUUUAAAGAAAGCGUAAUAGCUCACUGGUCGAGUCGGCCUGCGCGGAAGAUGUAACGGGGCUAAACCAUGCACCGAAGCUGCGGCAGCGACGCUUAUGCGUUGUUGGGUAGGGGAGCGUUCUGUAAGCCUGUGAAGGUGUGCUGUGAGGCAUGCUGGAGGUAUCAGAAGUGCGAAUGCUGACAUAAGUAACGAUAAAGCGGGUGAAAAGCCCGCUCGCCGGAAGACCAAGGGUUCCUGUCCAACGUUAAUCGGGGCAGGGUGAGUCGACCCCUAAGGCGAGGCCGAAAGGCGUAGUCGAUGGGAAACAGGUUAAUAUUCCUGUACUUGGUGUUACUGCGAAGGGGGGACGGAGAAGGCUAUGUUGGCCGGGCGACGGUUGUCCCGGUUUAAGCGUGUAGGCUGGUUUUCCAGGCAAAUCCGGAAAAUCAAGGCUGAGGCGUGAUGACGAGGCACUACGGUGCUGAAGCAACAAAUGCCCUGCUUCCAGGAAAAGCCUCUAAGCAUCAGGUAACAUCAAAUCGUACCCCAAACCGACACAGGUGGUCAGGUAGAGAAUACCAAGGCGCUUGAGAGAACUCGGGUGAAGGAACUAGGCAAAAUGGUGCCGUAACUUCGGGAGAAGGCACGCUGAUAUGUAGGUGAAGUCCCUCGCGGAUGGAGCUGAAAUCAGUCGAAGAUACCAGCUGGCUGCAACUGUUUAUUAAAAACACAGCACUGUGCAAACACGAAAGUGGACGUAUACGGUGUGACGCCUGCCCGGUGCCGGAAGGUUAAUUGAUGGGGUUAGCCGCAAGGCGAAGCUCUUGAUCGAAGCCCCGGUAAACGGCGGCCGUAACUAUAACGGUCCUAAGGUAGCGAAAUUCCUUGUCGGGUAAGUUCCGACCUGCACGAAUGGCGUAAUGAUGGCCAGGCUGUCUCCACCCGAGACUCAGUGAAAUUGAACUCGCUGUGAAGAUGCAGUGUACCCGCGGCAAGACGGAAAGACCCCGUGAACCUUUACUAUAGCUUGACACUGAACAUUGAGCCUUGAUGUGUAGGAUAGGUGGGAGGCUUAGAAGUGUGGACGCCAGUCUGCAUGGAGCCGACCUUGAAAUACCACCCUUUAAUGUUUGAUGUUCUAACGUUGACCCGUAAUCCGGGUUGCGGACAGUGUCUGGUGGGUAGUUUGACUGGGGCGGUCUCCUCCUAAAGAGUAACGGAGGAGCACGAAGGUUGGCUAAUCCUGGUCGGACAUCAGGAGGUUAGUGCAAUGGCAUAAGCCAGCUUGACUGCGAGCGUGACGGCGCGAGCAGGUGCGAAAGCAGGUCAUAGUGAUCCGGUGGUUCUGAAUGGAAGGGCCAUCGCUCAACGGAUAAAAGGUACUCCGGGGAUAACAGGCUGAUACCGCCCAAGAGUUCAUAUCGACGGCGGUGUUUGGCACCUCGAUGUCGGCUCAUCACAUCCUGGGGCUGAAGUAGGUCCCAAGGGUAUGGCUGUUCGCCAUUUAAAGUGGUACGCGAGCUGGGUUUAGAACGUCGUGAGACAGUUCGGUCCCUAUCUGCCGUGGGCGCUGGAGAACUGAGGGGGGCUGCUCCUAGUACGAGAGGACCGGAGUGGACGCAUCACUGGUGUUCGGGUUGUCAUGCCAAUGGCACUGCCCGGUAGCUAAAUGCGGAAGAGAUAAGUGCUGAAAGCAUCUAAGCACGAAACUUGCCCCGAGAUGAGUUCUCCCUGACUCC